CUCGUGACUUACGUUUUUAAUUUUUUUCAAAAAAUUUUUAACUAAGACAGACGGUCAAAGUUGGGUGCGGAAAAUCAUGGCUGCACUUAAA
rnacentral:pre_miRNA from 1 species